rnacentral:misc_RNA from 1 species
UACGGAGGGUGCAAGCAUUGAUCGGAAUUACUGGGCGUAAAGGGCGCGUAGGCGGCCUAGCAAGUCAGAUGUGAAAUUUCGGGGCUCAACCCCGAAGCUGCAUUUGAAACUGGAUAGCUAGAGUACAGUUAGGGUAAACGGAAUUCCACGUGUAGCGGUGAAAUGCGUAGAUAUGUGGAAGAACACCGGUGGUGAAGACGGUUUUCUGGGCUGUAACUGACGCUGAGGCGCGAAAGCAUGGGGAGCAAGCAGG